UUCGAUCAUGGCUCAGAUUGAACGCUGGCGGGAUGUUUACACAUGCAAGUCGAACGGCAGCACGGACUUCGGUCUGGUGGCGAGUGGCGAACGGUGAGUAAUGUAUCGGAACGUGCCUAGUAGUUAGGGGAUAACUACGCGAAAGCGUAGCUCAUUACCGCCAUACCGCCCUUCGGGGGAAAGCGGGGGACCUUUCGGGCCCCGCACUAUUAGAGCGGCUGAUAUCGGAUUAGCUAGUUGGUGGGGUAACGGCUCACCAAGGCGACGAUCCGUAGCUGGUUUGAGAGGACGACCAGCCACACUGGACCGAGAUGGCCCAGACUCUAAGGAGGCAGCAGUGGGGAAUUUUGGACAAUGGGGGAAACCCUGAUCCAGCCAUCCUGCGUGCGAUGCAUGGGCCUUCAAAGUUGUAAAGCACUUUUGGCAGGAAAGAAACGGCACGUGGAUAAUACCCUGUGCAACUGACGGUACCUGCAGAAUAAGCGCACCGGCUAACUACGUGCCAGCAGCCGCGGUAAUACGUAGGUGCAAGCGUUAAUCGGAAUUACCGCUAAAGCGUGCGCAGGCGGUUCGCAGAAAGGAUGAAAUCCUAGAGCUUAACUGAACCGGCAUUUUAACUGUCGAGCUAGAGUGUGUCAGAGGGAGGUGGAAUUCCGCGUGUAGCAGAAAUGCGUAGAUAUGCGGAGGAACACCGAUGGCGAAGGCAGCCUCCUGGGAUAACACUGACGCUCAUGCACGAAAGCGUGGGGAGCAAACAGGAUUAGAUACCCUGGUAGUCCACGCCCUAAACGAUGUCAACUAGCUGUUGGGGCCUCGGGCCUUUGGUAGCGCAGCUAACGCGUGAAGUUGACCGCCUGGGGAGUACGGUCGCAAGAUUAAAACUCAGCGAAUUGACGGGGACCCGCACAAGCGGUGGAUGAUGUGGAUUAAUUCGAUGCAACGCGAAAAACCUUUACCCAAUUCUUGACAUGUCUGGAAUCCCCCGAAGAGAUUUGGGAGUGCUCGCAAGAGAACCGGAACACAGGUGCUGCAUGGCUGUCGUCAGCUCGUGUCGAGAUGUUGGGUUAAGUCCUGCAACGAGCGCAACCCUUGUCAUUAGUUGCUACGAAAGGGCACUCUAAUGAGACUGCCGGUGACAAACCGGAGGAAGGGGAUGACGUCAAGUCCUCAUGGCCCUUAUGGGUAGGGCUUCACACGUCAUACAAUGGUCGGGACAGAGGGUCACAACCCGUGGCGAGGGGGAGCCAAUCCCAGAAACCCGAUCGUAGUCCGGAUCGCAGUCUGCAACUCGACUGGGUGCAGGUCGGAAUCGCUGAAUAAUCGCGGAUCAGCAUGUCGUAACAUGUUCCCGGGUCUGUAAGACACCGCCUGCUCACACCAGGAGGUUUUACCAGAAGUAGUUAGCCUUAACCGGGCGAGGGCGACUACUUAAUGCCAAGUAGAUUCUAUGAUUUGGUGAAGUCGUAUCAAGGUA
rnacentral:rRNA from 1 species